AUACGGGGGGGGCAAGCGUUGUUCGGAAUUACUGGGCGUAAAGGGCGCGUAGGCGGACCAGACAGUCCCUCGUGAAAUCCCACGGCUCAACCGUGGAACUGCGGGAGAUACUACUGGCCUUGAGUUCGGGAGAGGAGUGUGGAAUUCCCAGUGUAGCGGUGAAAUGCGUAGAUAUUGGGAGGAACACCGGUGGCGAAGGCGGCACUCUGGACCGAUACUGACGCUGAGGCGCGAAAGCUAGGGGAGCAAACGGGAUUAGAAACCCCAGUAGUCC
rnacentral:rRNA from 1 species